GGUUGUUCCAGAAAUAAUGUC
rnacentral:siRNA from 1 species